rnacentral:rRNA from 1 species
CUCCUACGGGAGGCAGCAGUAGGGAAUCUUCCGCAAUGGGCGCAAGCCUGACGGAGCAACGCCGCGUGAGUGAGGAAGGCCUUCGGGUUGUAAAACUCAGUCACCUGGGAAGAGAGGUAUGGGGAGUGGAAUGCCCCAUACGAGACGGUACCAGGGGAGGAAGCCCCGGCUAACUACGUGCCAGCAGCCGCGGUAAUACGUAGGGGGCAAGCGUUGUCCGGAAUCACUGGGCGUAAAGCGUGCGUAGGCGGUCUUUCAAGUCCGGGGUGAAAACUCAAGGCUCAACCUUGAGAAUGCCUUGGAAACUGGGGGACUUGAGUACUGGAGAGGCAAGGGGAAUUCCACGUGUAGCGGUGAAAUGCGUAGAGAUGUGGAGGAAUACCAGUGGCGAAGGCGCCUUGCUGGACAGUGACUAACGCUGAGGCACGAAAGCGUGGGGAGCAAACAGGAUUAGAUACCCUGGUAGUCCACGCCGUAAACGAUGAGUGCUAGGUGUUGGGGGUUCAUCCCCUCAGUGCCGAAGGAAACCCAAUAAGCACUCCGCCUGGGGAGUACGGUCGCAAGACUGAAACUCAAAGGAAUUGACGGGGGCCCGCACAAGCAGUGGAGCAUGUGGUUUAAUUCGAAGCAACGCGAAGAACCUUACCAGGGCUUGACAUCCCUCUGACCGGUUCAGAGAUGGACCUUCCCUUCGGGGCAGAGGAGACAGGUGGUGCAUGGUUGUCGUCAGCUCGUGUCGUGAGAUGUUGGGUUAAGUCCCGCAACGAGCGCAACCCUUGACCUGUGUUACCAGCACGUAAUGGUGGGGACUCACAGGUGACUGCCGGCGUAAGUCGGAGGAAGGUGGGGAUGACGUCAAAUCAUCAUGCCCUUUAUGUCCUGGGCUACACACGUGCUACAAUGGGCGGUACAACGGGAAGCGAGACCGCGAGGUGGAGCGAAACCCAAAAAGCCGUUCGUAGUUCGGAUUGCAGGCUGCAACCCGCCUGCAUGAAGCCGGAAUUGCUAGUAAUCGCGGAUCAGCAUGCCGCGGUGAAUCCGUUCCCGGGCCUUGCACACACCGCCCGU